CCAAUAGCGUAUAUUAAAGUUGUUGCAGUUAAAAAGCUCGUAGUUGAAUUUCGGGAUCAAUAUGUUGGUCGUGCCUUGGUACGUACUGGCGUCAUUGGUUUCUACCUUCUGAAGAACCUCGAUGUCAUUAAUUUGGUGUCUUGGGGAAUCAGGACUGUUACUUUGAAAAAAUUAGAGUGUUUAAAGCAAGCUCACGCUUG
rnacentral:rRNA from 1 species